UCCUUGGUGGUCCAUUGGUUAAGACUCUACACUUCCAAUGCAGGUGGUGCAGGUUUGAUCCCUGGUUGGGGAA
rnacentral:tRNA from 1 species